AGCUCUGAUUGUCCAAACGCAAUUCUUGUGAUAUUUUUUACAAGUCAAGGAUUGUAUCUGGACGUCGUUGCUC
rnacentral:pre_miRNA from 1 species